GCGUUUUUCGCAGCGGCGGAGGUCGACCGCCGACUUCGGUGAUCGUCGACUACAUCGACGAGUACCGCCACCGUUUCGGGGUCGACCCGAUCUGCUCCGUGCUCC
rnacentral:ncRNA from 1 species